CCAUGACUGCAAGAGUCCAAGGUAUCAUCGCCAUGCCUCUCUCUCUCUCUCUCUCUCUCUGUGUUCUGCGUUCUGACGGGGAAUGCAAUGGGAGGCGGGUUGCCACCGUUCAUGGCCCCAAAAGCUGGUGGUCAUCCAUCGACGAAGACGAUGAUGGAGCCACAGAAUGCAGAAAUAAAAUAUUCAAUGUGCGAUAAAAGCUCGAUGAUGGUCAAUGUGGCUUAUAAAACAUACAGUCCAGUUGCGGUGCGACUCCACAAUGUCGCGACGAGUGGACUCGGACUGCCACAACAACUCACUCCGAGUUGAACCGGUAAUAAGAGCCACAACACCGCCCGCCAAAAGCAACAAACCGCCCGCCAAAAGCAACAAACCGCGAGGGCUCGCCAUCGAUUUCUACCAGACUACCGCGACGGGUUUCUCCCCCCCCCCCCCCCCCUUCCCCUUUCCCUCCUCCUAGCUCUGGCGUCUCGAUCUCAGCCGCCUCAUCCGCCUCCGGUACCCCUCGUUGUCCUCCUCAUUCGGCGGCUCCCCUCCUCUCGCCUGCUGCGGCGGGAUCGGCCGAAGCGAGUUCUCGACCGGUGUGCUGUCGUGGAAACCUCAUAUAUUGAUCUCCUCCGUCGUCGAAUGGGCUUCUCAGGUGUAUCAAUUUCAUAUCAUGAUUUAUCUAUCUCCUCCAUCGUGCUAUGCUGCUUCGAGAUGUGCAAAAACAUUUUGAUUGGCGUAUUCGAGAUCUGUGCACGUCAAAUCCUUUGGUCCCUCAGACAAUCCUACAAGAAAGAAAUCACGGCAAAUGUGCAGAAUAAUACGAGAUUCAUGAUUCACAAACAUGCGACCUCAGAAAUCCUUUGAUCGAUCCGAGAAACAUUCGAAUAGAGAGUUAGAUUUGGGUGCAGACACAUCAAAUCAGACAGUUCAUUUCAGAUAGUACAGACUGGCGAUCCGUUCAACAUCAGAGGCAUGAAUGGGGCCCGUACGUAGACCAAUUCCAACCAUGACAACUCCAAACACCGAGUGGGUUGCCUCUGCAUCAACUCUCACCCACCGUCCUGUAUGAUGGGUUCACUGAUCCACUCCAUCGGUCCCGUUCUUUCACAGAGAUGUCCAUGUCACUCAUCUUCCAUCAACAUCAAACAAGAACCCUCUCCAGGUAUGCGACCUGUCUCUACAUUCUUACAUUUAAAAGUUAAUACUUGUUAAUAUUUGAAUCGACUACUAGAGCAUCAGAACGAUGCAUAUCGGGAAUGAAUUUUUUUGCAGGUCAAUAGUAUUUUUAAUCUCUUAACAUGUCACUUUUUUUUUCAUCUUAUUCGUAGAGAUAAAAGUCAGACUACAGUUAGUUUGAUUUAAUCACAGCGUUAGCAAACUUGUUACCAUGUGGAGAAUAUCAUUAGAUAAGUAUGAAUAAAAUAAAUAAAUAUCAUUGAAUAUUUUAAUCCUCAAUCAUAUCGUGAAUUUUCAUCUCACAAGAAAAUAUCUUCCGCACCUUCUACCUAACACUUUUCUACAAAGGCGAAGGAAAAAAAAAAAAAGUGUUAGUGUCUCUUUAUAUUUGUGGUUGGGGAGUCACGGCAAGGCUUGACUCCAUAUGCAUAGGGUCGUUUGGUCCGAUACUCGGGCAGAGGAGAUGGGUGUCAGUCUUCAUGUGUCCAAUGUCUCGUCAUGUGUUUAUCGGAUCUCUGCACACAAGUCGGGAUCGGGAGAUUUCCUGACCCGACUCGACCCCUCCUAAGAUUAAGUUAGUUUUUUUUUCCCUUUUCUCCUCCCGGUACUGACCAGGGGUGAGUUUUUAUACCUACGUGCGGAGCCAAUUGUACUUGGUCAAUUAAUGUCUGUCGACCGCUGGGGCGAUCGACCCAUACUUCCCACGUGGGCGUCGAUCAACCCGUACGGAUUGAUGUCGAGCGGUGCCGCCCCAAGCUUUUCAGGGUGGCCACGUACCUUGCGGCACCGUCCUGAGUUUUUCGGGACGACAUCGAGCGACGUCAGCUCGGAUUUUUCGAGGUGGCAUGGUACCAUGGGUGGCUUUGUACAGUAUUGCGGGGAUCCGAACCCGGCAUGUUGCGAUCUGCCACCUCAGCUCUGUGCGACGCCCGGUGAUGAUGUGGCUGCAGGCCGCUGCCUAGGAGUGUGCGUCGCCUGUAUAUGCCCUAUCAAAAAGAAAGUUGGAGGAGAAUAGAGCCAAUGGGUGUCAUCAUCAGCCCAUUGGAGUUGCUACCUUGGUGCAAAAGCAAGAUAAAGUGGUGAGCGAGGGUUGAUUGUUUUCAUGUGGGUUGUUUUCCUUGCACUGGUUCUUACUACGAUGACCAAGUGGUUUAGGAUUUAGGAUUAUAAGUGUCGUUUUCGACUUUCAAGUGCCUUCAUGGAGGGUGCAGAAGCUUCUAGUGGCUUACAUUUUGUCUUGUGCUUGGAAGACUAUAUAAACUGUACUGUCGACUCACAAGUGUGCAAAUUAAAAGUGUGUUUUUAGGAGAAUUAUAGUACAAGGAUGAUUGCAUAUCCUGAUUGAAGCUGAUCGCAUGAAGCUUCUUUAAAUCCUUAACGAUAAGUGAGGAAAGAAGAAUUCAAACCCAAAAAAACCCAUAUAAUGAUUUAUCAAAUUCUUUAUCAUCUAAGUUGCUCAACAUCUUCUAGGGUUUGUAACUUUUUUUUAAACUACUGAUUUUUUUAGCAUUAUACAUAUUAGGGUUUGUCCUUGACCUUGGGUUGUGUUGUCUCUUAAACAUGGUUAAUCUUCUUUUGAGUUAUAUCUAAGGUGAUGGCAGCCUUCUUGUCCUCCUCUCCCACUAGUGAGUCAAUGUGAGUUAGAGACAUUUUAGGAUCAA